UUAGGCGGAGGAAAAGAACCCAACAGGGAUUGCCUUAGUAACGGCGAGUGAAGCGGCAAAAGCUCAAAUUUGAAAUCUGGCACCUUCGGUGUCCGAGUUGUAAUUUGAAGAAGGUAACUUUGGAGUUGGCUCUUGUCUAUGUUCCUUGGAACAGGACGUCACAGAGGGUGAGAAUCCCGUGCGAUGAGAUGCCCAAUUCUAUGUAAAGUGCUUUCGAAGAGUCGAGUUGUUUGGGAAUGCAGCUCUAAGUGGGUGGUAAAUUCCAUCUAAAGCUAAAUAUUGGCGAGAGACCGAUAGCGAACAAGUACAGUGAUGGAAAGAUGAAAAGAACUUUGAAAAGAGAGUGAAAAAGUACGUGAAAUUGUUGAAAGGGAAGGGCUUGAGAUCAGACUUGGUAUUUUGCGAUCCUUUCCUUCUUGGUUGGGUUCCUCGCAGCUUACUGGGCCAGCAUCGGUUUGGAUGGUAGGAUAAUGACUAAGGAAUGUGGCUCUACUUCGGUGGAGUGUUAUAGCCUUGGUUGAUACUGCCUGUCUAGACCGAGGACUGCGUCUUUGACUAGGAUGCUGGCAUAAUGAUCUUAAGCCAC
rnacentral:rRNA from 1 species